UUCUUUCUCCUGUUUUUCAAAUGGAAGGAAACAAUAAGUUGGUGAUGGUGGCAAAAGAGAAGGGCAUAACUGCCGUGACUGAAAUAAAUGGAAACACACUCACUAAUAUAACGAGUAUGGGUGACCUCCACUACAAGAGGACCAGUAAGAGAAUCUAGAUCACCUAGGCAUUUCUACACUUUUACCAUGUAAAGGUGAUACAAUAAAGAUCAAUGUAUCAAAAUAAAAA